rnacentral:rRNA from 1 species
AUUGAACGCUGGCGGCAGGCCUAACACAUGCAAGUCGAGCGGAUGAAGGGAGCUUGCUCCUGGAUUCAGCGGCGGACGGGUGAGUAAUGCCUAGGAAUCUGCCUGGUAGUGGGGGAUAACGUCCGGAAACGGGCGCUAAUACCGCAUACGUCCUGAGGGAGAAAGUGGGGGAUCUUCGGACCUCACGCUAUCAGAUGAGCCUAGGUCGGAUUAGCUAGUUGGUGGGGUAAAGGCCUACCAAGGCGACGAUCCGUAACUGGUCUGAGAGGAUGAUCAGUCACACUGGAACUGAGACACGGUCCAGACUCCUACGGGAGGCAGCAGUGGGGAAUAUUGGACAAUGGGCGAAAGCCUGAUGCAGCCAUGCCGCGUGUGUGAAGAAGGUCUUCGGAUUGUAAAGCACUUUAAGUUGGGAGGAAGGGCAGUAAGUUAAUACCUUGCUGUUUUGACGUUACCAACAGAAAAAGCACCGGCUAACUUCGUG